GGCCUUGCUUCAUAUAACCCUUCAUUAAAGUUGUGUAUAUUCUAGAGUCAGGAGCAUAAGCUUUAGGCAAUAAUGGUGGCUCGGUGUUACUAGCUUCAACCCAAUUUGGAAGUAACUUGUUAAACACAUUAUUCUCAUCCUUAUCCUCGACUGUAUCUUCCUCAUCUUCACAAUAAUCAUCCAAAUUCGCCUCCCUAAGAAUCUUACAAAGAUCUCUCCUUUCUUCUCUCAUUGCUUGAACAAUUUUCUCCGCGGCUUCCAGGUCCUCAAACCCAAC
rnacentral:misc_RNA from 1 species